UUAAAACCUCUUCAAUUCUCACCUGACCUAAAAUCUAAGCGUCUUAUUUCUUCUGCAAUGCCGCUUGACCCCAAUACAAACUCAACAGUGGUUCCAAAUAGCCAGAAAACGGCACUUUCAAUUUUUCCAUCCUACAAGAUCUAAAUAAUUCUUGUAAAAUGGGCAAAUGGUCUGAGGUGCCUGACUAGGUCAUUGAACUAAUAAAACCAGGAAGAGCAAGAGUGCUGAUGGCACAAUGCACCCACCUGCCUCCAGAUCCAUAUUUUCAACUGCCUUACCUGUGGAGGACCUUGAAACACAUGAAUCUCAACGUGGUACAGCACCUACAGCACCUGU
rnacentral:lncRNA from 10 species